GAGGUAGGUGCAAAUGGUGUUUGCCGGUUGUCUGCAAAACAACUUGUUUGGGAGUUCGAUCCUCCUCUAUCUCUC
rnacentral:tRNA from 1 species